rnacentral:rRNA from 1 species
GAGUUUGAUCUUGGCUCAGAUUGAACGCUGGCGGCAUGCCUUACACAUGCAAGUCGAACGGCAGCAUGAUCUAGCUUGCUAGAUUGAUGGCGAGUGGCGAACGGGUGAGUAAUACAUCGGAACGUGCCCUGUAGUGGGGGAUAACUAGUCGAAAGAUUAGCUAAUACCGCAUACGACCUGAGGGUGAAAGUGGGGGACCGCAAGGCCUCAUGCUAUAGGAGCGGCCGAUGUCUGAUUAGCUAGUUGGUGGGGUAAAGGCCCACCAAGGCGACGAUCAGUAGCUGGUCUGAGAGGACGAUCAGCCACACUGGGACUGAGACACGGCCCAGACUCCUACGGGAGGCAGCAGUGGGGAAUUUGGACAAUGGGCGAAAGCCUGAUCCAGCAAUGCCGCGUGUGUG